rnacentral:rRNA from 1 species
CCUACGGGAGGCUGCAGUGAGGAAUAUUGGUCAAUGGGCGAGAGUCUGAACCAGCCAAGUAGCGUGAGGGAUGACUGCCCUAUGGAUUGUAAACUUCUUUUAUAGGGGAAUAAAAUAUUCCACGUGUGGGAUUUUGUGUGUACCAUAUGAAUAAGGAUCGGCUAACUCCGUGCCAGCAGCCGCGGUAAUACGGAGGAUGCGAGCGUUAUCCGGAUUUAUUGGGUUUAAAGGGAGCGUAGGUGGAUAGUUAAGUCAGUUGUUAAAGUUUGCGGCUCAACCGUAAAAGUGCAGUUGAAACUGGCAGUCUUGAGUACAGUAGAGGUGUGCGGAAUGCGUGGUGUAGCGGUGAAAUGCUUAGAUAUCACGAAGAACUCCGAUUGCGAAGGCAGCUCACUGG